rfam:Oryza rufipogon genomic scaffold, chr05
AAAAAGGCAAACCCUGGGUUUCCGUGCCAACGUUUGACUGUCGGUCUUAUAUGAAAUUUUUUUAUAAUUAGUAUUUUCAUGGUUGUUAGAUGAUAAAACAUGAUUAAUACUUUAUACGUGACUUAUCUUUUUUAAUUUUUUUAAUAAUUUUUUCAAAUAAGACGGACGUUCAAACCUUGGACACGGAAACCAGGGUUUGUCUUUUU